rnacentral:lncRNA from 1 species
ACAAGUUCUGGCUUCAAUUAAAGGAAACGGUUUAGAAGGUUUUAUUAAUGGCGAUUUGAAAUGUCCAGAGAAAUUUAUCUCACUUUCCAGCACUGGUGAAGCUUCAACAUCUAAUGAAUCACGAUCAGCAAAUCCUGAGUUCAUUGCUUGGAUGAAGACAUAUCAACUUCUCUUGAGUUGGAUGAUGUCAUCCAUUCAGCAAAGCUUACUAUCAACUGUGAUUGAUUGUGCAACUUCAAAGCAACUCUGGGAAUCACUUAACUGUAUGUUCAUUUCUCAGUCUCAAGCACGAAUUCAAACUCUUAGAAUGCAAAUCCAGACAAUUAAAAAAGGAUCUAUAACUAUGGCUGAAUAUUUUUCUAAAAUCAAACGUAUAGCAGAUACAUUAGCCUUAACAGGGAAACUAGUUGAACUAGGUGACUUUAUUAUGCAUGUGAUGAUUGGUCUUGAUUCUUCUGAUUAUGAGUCUUUGAUAACAACUAUUUUAGCUAGAGAAGGAACUAUUACUCUAGAUGAUUUGUACUCACUGCUUUUGAAUCAUGAAAAUAGGAUCGAUCAAAAGAAAAGCAAAAUUGCUAGUGAUAUCAUGCAUCAUAUGUCUGCAAAUGUAGCUAAAAAGGAUCAUAUUCUAGCAAAAAUAAUAAUGGAUUUAAGAAAAAUUAUGGAGGUAAUUUUGGAAAUGAUAAUAGUUCGAAUUUUGGUGGUUAUAAUGGAGGUUUUAAUAAUAAUGGAGGAUCUCAAUUUGCUGGUGGAAGAAAUUUUUCUGAUCUUGUCUGUCAGAUUUGCUUCAUUCCUAGUCAUGGAGCCAAUAGAUGCCAAAAUAGGUUCAAUCCUUCAUUUGUUCCUCAGAAGAAUUUUGGCAGAGAAAAUUUUAGAGGACAAUUUGGUAGAGGCGGGUCUUUUAAGAAUUUUGGCAGAGGGCCAAAUUUUUCUGGAACUAAUUUUGGGAAUGUUUAUAUGCCAAGAGGAGCUGUUUUUCAAGCCAACAUGGCUUACUCAGAUCUUGCUUUUAUUCCUAGGUGUACUCAUUAUAAUUACACAUCUGGUUUUAAUGUUUUUGCUCUGGACACUUUCAUGGAAUCUCUGCUCCUAGCUUUCCUCAUAGUCCCUCUCCAUAUUUUUCUGAAAAUGUUCUAAAUGGCAUGCCUAGUACCUCUGGACCAUCAACUCAAGCAACUUGUGCUGCAAAUCCUGAGAUUGCUAAAGAUCCCUCCUGGUAUAUUGAUAGUGGAGCAACCAACCACAUCACAAAUGAUUUAGGUAAGCUUGUUAAUCCUAAAGCUUAUGUUGGUAAUGAACAGCUAUAUGUUGGUGAUGGAAAUGCAUUGCUUAUUAACCAUGUUGGAUCAGUAAAGCUUACUAUAAACACUUUUGAACCAUUUUCUCUUAAUCAUGUUUUACAUGUUCCUAAAAUUACUAAGAAUUUACUUAGUGUUUCUAAGUUGCUUGCUGACAAUAAUGUUACCCUUAAAUUUGUUGGAACCUGUUGUUUUGUUAAGGCCAGGAGCACAGGGAUCAUAUUGCUUGAAGGAGUUGUUAAAGGAGGUCUUUAUAAAGACCAAAGUCCAACUUCUCAUCCUCAGUCUGUUGCUGUCAAUACAAUCCUUUUUAAUCAAAAUAAAUUUCAGUCUCUUUUUGCUUGUCUUCCUCAUUCAGCUUGUGAAACUUUUGGUUCAAAUUCCUUUCGGGGAAAUAAAAAUUAUUGUUUGUCUGUUAUAGCUACAAAAACUGUUGAUGUAAAUCUUCUUCAUAUAAGAUUAGGGCACCCUGCUGUUCAUGUCUUGAAAACAAUCCUCAACUCAUGUAACAAGUUUGGUAGUCUCGAUAAAAUUCAAAACUUACAAUUCAGUGGUGCUUGUCAAUUUGGAAAGAAUCAUAUGUUGCAUUUUAACUCUGUUCAAACUAAGACUACAGAACCUUUACAGUUGUUUUAUGCAGAUCUUUGGGGUCCUUCCCAUGUUACUUCCACUCAAGGUUAUGUCUAUUACUUAUCAAUCUUAGAUGAUUUUAGCCGUUUCACUUGGAUAUUUCCAUUAAGCUCAAAAUCUGAUGCCCUAACAGUGUUUGUCAAAUUCAAAAUCUUUAUUGAAAAACAUCUCCAAAAGAGUAUCAAAACAGUUCAAACUGACUGGGGUGGGGAAUUCAGAUCAUUCUCUUCUUUACUCAACAAUUCAGGAAUUCAUUUUAGGCAUCCUUGUCCUUAUAUUCAUCAUCAAAAUGGGAGGAUUAAAAGGAAACAUAGAUAUAUUGUUGAUAUUAGCCUUACCUUGCUUGCUCAAGCACAUCUUCCUUUAAAAUUCUGGUGGAAUGCCUUUCAGACUGAUGUCUACUUAAUCAACAGACUUCCCAUACCAGUCUUGAACAAUAUAUCACCCUAUCAAAAGCUAUUUCAUCAAAAACCAAAUUAUUCUACUCUUAGAAUUUUUAGUUGUGCAUGUUUUCCUUACCUAAGACCCUAUAACAGACACAAACUUGAAUUCAGAACUGGCAGGUGCAUUUUUAUUGGAUAUAGUUCUAACCAUAAGGGCUAUCUGUGUUUGCAUUCAUUUGGAAGGACAUACAUUUCCAAUCAUGUAGUCUUUAAUGAAAAAUCAUUUUCUUAUGUUCAUGGUCUUGAUUUUUCCUCGGUCAUAAUAUCUUCUCAAACAGAUUUUGUGCUUCAGUCAGAUUCUGAGUAUCCUUUUGUUAUUCAUCUUCAAGCUCCUUUAGCAGCAACUUCAACAUCUGAUUCUGCAGCUCCAGUCUCAAUCUCUCCAUAGGUAUUUUCUCAACACUCACCUUUGCUCUCAGUUUCUACGACAAAUACUUUAAACCAUACCUCAAAUUCUUCUCCCAAUUCCUAUUCUCCUUUAAGAAAUUCUCCACCUCAUAUCCUUCCUGCACCACCUUCUAUUAGUCAUUCUAUGAUCACAAGGUCUAAGAAUGACAUUUUAAAACCAAAAUUUUAUCUCUCAGUACUUCUAGCCCAACAAUCUGAACCUGCAUCUGUCACUCAAGCUUUAACUGAUCCACAAUGGUUCAAAGCCACGCAAGAAGAGUUUUAAGCUCUCCAAGCUAAUCAUACUUGGGAGUUGGUAUUACCUAAAGCUACUGUUAAAGUGGUUGGCAAUAAAUGAGUUUUUAAAAUAAAAUAUAAUCCUGAUGGGUCAAUACUGAAGUACAAAGCACGGCUGGUUGCCAAAGAUUUUCAUCAAGUUCAUGGUAUUGAUUACACUAAAACUUUUAGUCCAGUGGUUAAAGCUUCUACUUUCAGGGUAGUUUUGAGCAUUGCAGUCAUGAAUAGUUGGAUUCUCAGGCAAAUAGAUGUGAACAAUGCUUUUUUGAAUGGAAUUCUUGAUGAGGAAGUUUAUAUGGCACAGCCAGAGGGGUUUGUUAAUCCUCAAAAGCCUCAGCACAUAUGCAAACUCAAGAAAGCCAUCCAUGGAUUAAAACAAGCUCCAAGAGCUUGGUUUGCCAGAUUCAGAACAACCAUGAUUUCUCAGUGGCAUUUUCAGAAUUCAAAGUCAGAUAAUUCUAUUUUUUACAAAAGGGAAAAUGGUCACUUACUCCUGGUGUUGGUAUAUGUUGACGAUAUCAUCAUUACUGGUUCUAACUCAACUAAAGUUCAACAAGUUAUUCAAGAUAUACAGAAGACUUUUGCCUUGAAAGAUCUUGGGGAACUUAGCUAUUUCUUAGGCAUUAAAGUCUCUAAACUUCAAAAUGGUAUUCAUCUCUCACAGGCUAAAUACAUUGUAGACAUCUUAGCAAAACAUGACUUGGCUAGCUGCAGUCCAGUACCAACACCUAUGUCUACAGGUCAAUAUCUCAUUAAAGACUCAGGUACUGACAUUGCAAAUAUUUCUCAAUAUAGAAGCAUCAUUGGGGCACUAUAGUAUGUUACACUCACUGGACCAGAAAUUUCAUUCAGUGUUAAUAAGCUCAACCAAUUUUUGUCUCAUCCUAAAACUUCACAUUGGGAGGCUUGCAAAAGAUUAUUAAGAUAUCUUAAAGGAACAAUUCAUUUUGGACUUCAAUUUUACAAUUGUGAAGCUCUACAAAUAAAUUGUUUUUCAGACUCAGAUUGGGCUUGUGAUCGUGAUGAUAGAAAGUCAGUGGCUGGUUUUGCUGCGUAUCUGGGUCCAAAUUUGGUUUCAUGGUCUUCAAAGAAACAAUCGGUUGUAUCAAGGUCAAGUGCCGAGGCUGAGUAUGGAGCUCUAGCUCAUGCUGCAUCAGAAGUUGUUUGGAUAAAGUCUUUACUUGUUGAGUUGCAAGUUCAGCUAAGCACAACACCACUCAUGUGGUGUGACAAUCAGAGUGCAAUUGCUUUAGCUUAUAAUCCAAUUUAUCAUGCUAAAACAAAGCAUGUUGAGCUGGACAUUCAUUUCAUCAUAGAUAAGGUGGCAUAAAAAGAAAUAGAUGUUUGUUUUGUGCCUAGUGAGGAUCAAAUAGCAGAUGUCUUAAUCAAGGCUCUUACUUUCAAUCAGUUUCAUUACUUACGCAGCAAACUAAAUGUUCAAGCCAAGCAUUUUAGUUUCAAAGGGGAUGUUAGUGAAGAUGAGUGAAGCAACAGAGAAAGAAAGUAAUGAAGGAAGAAGGAACUUCAGUCUAAGAGGAGAUGUUAGUGAAGCUGAUUAAUUGUGAACAGAGGAAGCGAGCACAUGUUGUUACUGUGUGUUUGACUGUAGCAGAUUAGCUCACUUAGCUGACGUGGCUCAGUUUGUUAUAUUGGUUUAAGAAUUCUCACGUGCAUGUGUAACAGCUUAUUAACAAGAAAUUGAUACUUGUUAUAUAAAGUGUGUAAGAUACAUUCAUUCGUCAAUAAGAAGUUUCCUUUAUAAAAUUUUUCUUUCUCUUUCUUUUAACUUUCUCGUUUACCAAACACAACAAUUGGUUUUCUAUCAUGGGGGAGCAAAUGGCGAAGAUCAUAAAGCAAUGGCACAGUGAAGCAAGGGAGAGAAAGAAGAAACAGGAAAAAUAUUUACCAUGUACUCCUCGCAGUUGUUUGUAUAUCGGCAGUGCAAACGGAUUCUCUUCUCUCCGAAGACCCACCCCUGUUUACAAAGAAGAAAUAAUCAGAGGAGAACAAGAAGAGCCAAGCACAUCUUCAAGAUCUGGAGCUCCAUCACCAAUGGCCUGGCUAGAAAUGCCAACGCUGAGGAGAGAGUAGACAAGGUUAUGGGAAAAUUGUUGAAAAAGGAGAUUGUUGAUUCUAAGAUAUACUUACGAGAAGAAUAUUACAUGUGAUGAGGAAAAAAAUAAAUUAAAGAAAAUUUUAACGUUUUGGGUGUGUUCUUAAUAUAUACUUUUAAAGCUAGCUGUGAAGGUAUUUCGCGUCCGCGAUUACCCGAGUUCAAGUAACAAUAGUGGGGUAAUAGUUGAUAUCUGUUAAGUAAAAAUUUCUCAUCCUUACCUAAAUCCAUUCUAGAAAAAAGACAUGUACAUUCACACCUAUCUAAUGGAUUCUUGUCCCUACAGGCAUUUGUUCUUAUACACAUGGUUGAAAGAUACAUGUAAUAAUAAUUCAACUUCUCAUUUUCUUUGACAAUGUGGAUUAUUUUUCCAUGUACCCGGGGUAUACGUAUCUGGAAAUGAAAUAUUCCGUUUU